rnacentral:rRNA from 1 species
GACGAACGCUGGCGGCGUGCCUAAUACAUGCAAGUCGAGCGCAGGAAGUCGACGGAACCCUUCGGGGGGAAGUUGAUGGAAUGAGCGGCGGACGGGUGAGUAACACGUAAAGAACCUGCCCUCAGGUCUGGGAUAACCACGAGAAAUCGGGGCUAAUACCGGAUGGGUCAUCGGACCGCAUGGUCCGAGGAUGAAAGGCGCUUCGGCGUCGCCUGGGGAUGGCUUUGCGGUGCAUUAGCUAGUUGGUGGGGUAAUGGCCCACCAAGGCGACGAUGCAUAGCCGACCUGAGAGGGUGAUCGGCCACACUGGGACUGAGACACGGCCCAGACUCCUACGGGAGGCAGCAGUAGGGAAUCUUCCACAAAGGACGAAAGUCUGAUGGAGCAACGCCGCGUGAACGAUGAAGGCCUUCGGGUCGUAAAGUUCUGUUGUAAGGGAAGAACAAGUGCCGCAGGCAAUGGCGGCACCUUGACGGUACCUUGCGAGAAAGCCACGGCUAACUACGUG